rnacentral:rRNA from 1 species
GGCUGCAACUCGCCUACAUGAAGUCGGAAUUGCUAGUAAUCGCGGAUCAGCAUGCCGCGGUGAAUACGUUCCCGGGCCUUGUACACACCGCCCGUCACACCAUGAGAGCCGGUAACACCCGAAGUCAGUAGCCUAACCGCAAGGGGGGCGCUGCCGAAGGUGGGAUUGGUAAUUGGGGUGAAGUCGUAACAAGGUAAC